rnacentral:rRNA from 1 species
AAAGUGUAGUGUAACCAAUGGAUUUGAGCGGUUAUGUAUUUAAAGACGUAUAGGUAUGACGAAACUAUUUACAUUGAGAAAUAUUUCAUGCUUUGAAAUGUAAGUUUCUUAUAAGGGAGACCUAAAACUAAAAAUGUUGUGUAACCUGGCAAACUGAAACAUCUUAUUAGCCAGAGGCAAAAUAAAUCAAAUAGAGAUUCUGUAAUUAACGGUGAGUAAACGCAGAUAAGACCUUUGAGCUUUUAAUUAUGAACAAACUGAGUAUAUUUCAGACCGUAGGUUGGUUCAAGUCCCGUUUUUUUGUAAUAAACUAUAAGCUUAAUGAGUAAAAUGAUGCAGGAUUUGUUCAUUUGAAAGAGGGAGUCCAUCUUCCAAGUCUGAAAUAUGAAUACGUAGACCGAUAGUGGACAAAGUACCGUGAGGGAAAAAUGAAAAGAAACAAAAGUGAAAUAGAAUUUGAAAUUGGUUACUUUAGAAGCAAUUAUUCGUUUAAAGAAUAAUGUACCUUUUGCAUAAUGGGUCAACAAAUUGAAUAAAAAAGCAAUUUGUAUAAAAGUAAUGAAAGUAAUUCCCUAACGGGGAAUGCAGUUGUUUUAUUCAAACUCGAAACCGAGUGAUCUAGUUAUGAACAAAUUGAAGAUAUUUUAAAAACGUAUCGGAGGAUUGCACCCGUGUAUGUAGCAAUAUACUGGGAAGAUUUGUAGCUAGGGGUGAAAGGCUAAUCAAACUCGGAUAUAGCUAGUUUUCUACGAAAUCUAUUGAGGUAGUUUGGUAAUAAAAAAUUGAAGUGGGUAUAGCACUUACCAAUUGAGGGGGGUUAAUAGCCUUACCAAUGUUGGUUAAACUAAAAAUAAUUUCAAAUUGUUAGUUACCAAGCAGAAUAUAGGCGCAAAGGUCUAUUUUUUCAAAAGGGAAACAGCCCAGACCUCCGGCUAAAGUCCAUAAAAAAAUUUGAGUGUAAAAAAAGAAUUUUGGAUGAUUAGAAUUGGCAAGUUGGCUUAGAAGCAGCCAUCCUUUAAAGAAAGCGUAACAGCUCGUCAAUCCUAGAAUUUAAAUAAUUCUGAAAAUGUAACAGGACUAAGAUUUUUACUUAAGCUAAGGUUGCUUUGAUUAUAAAAUUAAGUAAAGGCAAGGUAGUAGAACGACCAUUAAAGAUAUAUAUAUGUUUUCGAUAGAAAAAGUAUAUGGUGUGAUAAUGUUGACACGAGUAACGUUUAGGUUGGUGAAGAACAACCUCAUCAAAUAUGUAAGGAUUCCGAUGUAAAGUAACUUUCAUCGGGUUAGUCGGUCCCUAAUAGUUCUCUAUUUAUAAAAUAAGACUAGAUGGGUUAUUGGUCAGGCAACUACGGGUUUGCAUUAGUGUUAAUAACAUUAAGCGCCCGUGUUAAUAAUAAAAUGCUUGACCUUUUGAGAAAAGUGACUUUUUAUUUAUUCAUGUUUAUUAAAAUAAUUGCUUACGUGACUAAAUAAAUACUAGAAAAAGCUGUUUCAUAAAAAAACCGUACUUAAAGCCGACACAGGUAUUUUGAUAGAGUAUAUUAAGAUGAUUAAAAGAACAGCACUGAAGGAACUCGGCAAAUUGACUCCGUAACUUCGGGAAAAGGAGUGCUUGCAUAGAGUAAUCUAUGUGUGCGUAACAGAAUAGGGGGUAGCGACUGUUUAAUAAAAACACAGGACUCUGCUAAAUUGAAAAAUGAUGUAUAGAGUCUGACAUCUGCCCGGUACCAUUAGAUAAACAAACGAGUUAUUGCUUGUGAGUAAAGGAUUGGUGAACGGCGGCUGUAACCAUAACGGUCCUAAGGUAGCGAAAUUCCCUGUCGGGUAAGUUCCGACCUGCAUGAAUGAUGUAACGACUUCCCCACUGUCUCCAGUGUUGCUUUAGUGAAACUGAAUUUGUUGUGAAGAUGCAAUAUUAAUAGUAAGUAGACGGAAAGACCCUGUACACCUUUACUAUAACACGGGAUUGUACGUUUGUUGUGUUUAUGUAGAAUAACUCUUAAGCUUAUAACUCACGUUACGCAAGUAACUUUGAUGAGGCGUCGAUGAAAUAAGAGUUUUGCGGAACAAAUCUCUGUAUAGUCACAUUAAAAAUCCAGUGUGGUUAGUUUAACUGGGGUGGUUGUCUUCUAAAAUGUAACGAAGAUGUAUAAAGGUAUAUUUUGAAUUUAAUGGUAAAAUUAUGCUUAACUGUAAGAAUUACACUUCGAACAGAGACGAAAGUCGAUCAUAAUGAUCCAAUAGUGCUGUGUGGAAAGGCUAUUGCUCAACGGAUAAAAGGUACGUCAGGGAUAACAGGCUAAUAAAUCUUUAGAGUCCAUAUUUCCAGGUUUGUUUGGCACUUCGAUGUCGACUCAUCACAUCCUGGAGCUGCAGGAGGUUCCAAGGGUUGGGCUGUUCGCCCAUUAAAGUGGUACGUGAGUUGGGUUUAGAACGUUGUGAAACAGUUCGGUUCCUAUCUUUUACUUAUUUUAGAAUAAUAAAAUUAUAUCCCUCGUACGAGAGGAUUGGGGUGUGUAUGUCACUGGUACUUCAGUUAUUUUACUAAAUGGUAAGCUGAAAAGCUAAACAUAAAUUUAGAAUCGCUGAAAGCAUAUAAGCGAGAAAAUGUUUUUUAUUUAUUCUAUUUUUCUACUGAUAGAUUAUCAGUCCCUUAUAAGAUUUAGAGCUAGCAAUGGAUGGUCUUUAGAAUUGGGAAAAAUUUGAUUUUUGUAUUUUUUGUCU